UAGGAGCUUGACGGUACCGUAAGAAUAAGGAUCGGCUAACUCCGUGCCAGCAGCCGCGGUAAUACGGAGGAUCCAAGCGUUAUCCGGAAUCAUUGGGUUUAAAGGGUCCGUAGGCGGUUUGGUAAGUCAGUGGUGAAAGCCCAUCGCUCAACGGUGGAACGGCCAUUGAUACUGCCGAACUUGAAUUAUUGGGAAGUAACUAGAAUAUGUAGUGUAGCGGUGAAAUGCUUAGAGAUUACAUGGAAUACCAAUUGCGAAGGCAGGUUACUACCAAUGGAUUGACGCUGAUGGACGAAAGCGUGGGUAGCGAACAGGAUUAGAUACCCUGGUAGUCCACGCCGUAAACGAUGGAUACUAGCUGUUGGUGGCAACAUCAGUGGCUAAGCGAAAGUGAUAAGUAUCCCACCUGGGGAGUACGAACGCAAGUUUGAAACUCAAAGGAAUUGACGGGGGCCCGCACAAGCGGUGGAGCAUGUGGUUUAAUUCGAUGAUACGCGAGGAACCUUACCAAGGCUUAAAUGCAGACUGACCGAUUUGGAAACAGAUCUUUCGCAAGACAGUUUACAAGGUGCUGCAUGGUUGUCGUCAGCUCGUGCCGUGAGGUGUCAGGUUAAGUCCUAUAACGAGCGCAACCCCUGUUGUUAGUUGCCAGCGAGUAGUGUCGGGAACUCUAACAAGACUGCCAGUGCAAACUGUGAGGAAGGUGGGGAUGACGUCAAAUCAUCACGGCCCUUACGCCUUGGGCUACACACGUGCUACAAUGGCCGGUACAGAGAGCAGCCACCCCGCGAGGGGGAGCGAAUCUAUAAAGCCGGUCACAGUUCGGAUCGGAGUCUGCAACUCGACUCCGGAAG
rnacentral:rRNA from 1 species